rnacentral:sRNA from 1 species
UCUGGGUGCAGUGGUGCACGCCUGUAAUCCCAGCAGCUUGGAGGCUGAGGCAGGAGGAUUGCAAGUUGAAAGCCAGCCUCAG